CUGCCAAGUGUUGCUAGCUGGUGUCUAAGCAAAUGAAGAUGAAAGAGGGAACCAGAGAAAACGGGUGUUAGAAAACCUAAAGACGUUCUGUCUCAGAAGAGACUCUGACUCCACCACAUCACCAACCAGCUCUGAAGAUGAACCUCCACAUCGUCUUUAUGAUGGCCCUGUGAUGGACUGGUGACCUGUCCAGGGUGAAC